GACGAACGCUGGCGGCGCGCUUAACACAUGCAAGUCGAGCGAGAACCAGGCCUUCGGGCCUGGGGAAAGCGGCGAACGGGUGAGUAACACGUGGGUAACCCACCCUUGGUACCGGGAUAGCCCGAGGAAGCUCGGAUUAAUACCGGAUGGCCCAACAGCUUUUCGGAGCGGUUGGAAAAAGGUAGCUUCGGCCUCCGACCAAGGACGGGCCCGCGGCGGAUUAGCUUGUUGGUGAGGUAACGGCUCACCAAGGCGACGAUCCGAGCUGGUCUGAGAGGACGAUCAGCCACACUGGGACUGAGACACGGCCCAGACUCCUACGGGAGGCAGCAGUGGGGAAUCUUGCGCAAUGGGCGAAAGCCUGACGCAGCGACGCCGCGUGGGGGAAGAAGGCUUUCGGGUUGUAACCCUUUCAGGAAGGACGAAGCCACUCGGGUUAAUAGCCCAGAGGGUGACGGUACUUCCAGAAGAAGCCCCGGCUAACUACGUGCCAGCCGCCGCCGUAA
rnacentral:rRNA from 1 species